rnacentral:rRNA from 1 species
GACGAACGCUGGCGGCGUGCCUAAUACAUGCAAGUCGAACGCUUCUUUCCUCCCGAGUGCUUGCACUCAAUUGGAAAGAGGAGUGGCGGACGGGUGAGUAACACGUGGGUAACCUACCCAUCAGAGGGGGAUAACACUUGGAAACAGGUGCUAAUACCGCAUAACAGUUUAUGCCGCAUGGCAUAAGAGUGAAAGGCGCUUUCGGGUGUCGCUGAUGGAUGGACCCGCGGUGCAUUAGCUAGUUGGUGAGGUAACGGCUCACCAAGGCCACGAUGCAUAGCUGACCUGAGAGGGUGAUCGGCCACACUGGGACUGAGACACGGCCCAGACUCCUACGGGAGGCAGCAGUAGGGAAUCUUCGGCAAAGGACGAAAGUCUGACCGAGCAACGCCGCGUGAGUGAAGAAGGUUUUCGGAUCGUAAAACUCUGUUGUUAGAGAAGAACAAGGACGUUAGUAACUGAACGUCCCCUGACGGUAUCUAACCAGAAAGCCACGGCUAACUACGUG